rnacentral:misc_RNA from 1 species
AAGGAUCAUUACUGAACUGUCGACACGAGUUGUUGCUGGCCCUCGAAAGGGGCACGUGCACGCUCUGUUUACACAUCCACUCACACCUGUGCACCCUCCGUAGUUCCAUGGCCCUGGGGACUCUGUCCCAUCGCCGUGGUCCUGCGUCUUUACACACACACCGUAACAAAGUCUCAUGGAAUGUACAUCGCGUUUAACGCAAUACAAUACAACUUUCAGCAACGGAUCUCUUGGCUCUCGCAUCGAUGAAGAACGCAGCCGUACGCGCUUCUUUGUGUUUGGUUUUAAUACAAACUACAACUUUCAACAACGGAUCUCUUGGCUCUC